rnacentral:lncRNA from 1 species
AGUUGCUAGGACCUGCCUUUGAGGAGAGCAGGCCUUGUGGGUCUGGUUUGCAGCUCUGGCACCACUCAGGGCCCUGCUCCCCUACUUCCCUGCUGCCACACGACUCAGCCUUGGCACCGAACCAAAGCUGAUGGAAAAAUUAGCCAUCUGGAGCAUUGUCCCUCUCAUGACAGAAAGAAAAUGACAAGGCAAAUGGUGCCCUGACUCCCAGAACUCAGCACUAAAGUGACCAACAUCACUUCUUUGACUAAAACAAGUAAUAUAGCCAUUCCUAAGUUCAAUGGCAUUGGAAUACAUCCUCCACAGAGAGGAACGUGCCAGGAAAGAAACUGAAAUGUUUAGUGAAUGAGAACACAUCUCUACCAUCUCCUCCUAGGAUGACUUCUUUCCCAGAGACACGCCCCCUAGACUGUCAGCGGCCACACACUGGAGACCGGCAGAGUAGGACUGUAGAAGGAGUCUGGGCAUCCGUGACCCUGCGGGACCCAUGCGUCAACCUUGGACAGGCCACCUCUUGUUGCUUCCUGCCAUGUCAGAAACCUUCUCCUGGAUCUUCAGUCGCAGUGUAUCUGAAGCCACACCCACCGUGUAUCCCCGGCCCCCACCCAUGCGGCAGCACGUCACCGUCCAAUAGAGGGCACAACCGUGGGUCCAGGAAUCUGAACAGGAAGACUUGAAGGU